ensembl:lncRNA
CAACAUCAGGACAGGAAUGAUGAACCCAUAACAUUUUACAAAUCAGGACAUGUGUGUGUGUAAGUGUGUGUGUGGGUGGGGGCAUAUUUUUCCACUUCAUGUUCUCAUUCAAAUGAAAACAGCUGGCUGAGGGAUGUGCCUGUUCUUCAAGGUUUAAGGCUCUGCCCACUGUGAGCUCCUUUUUCUAAGAUUUUGAAGGCUUCAUGCAUUCUCCGUGGCGAUCGAGGAUAUAACUUUUGGGAAAUUAAUCAAGAAUUAUUUUCUUUUUAAUAAUUUAAACCCAGCGAAAUCGAAAGAGUUUGUGACAUGUUUCACUGUGACUUUGGUCAAGCCUCGAAUUUGAUCUCACGCAGUCAAAUUUGAACUCCGGUCCUGUUACUUACGGAUUCACGCAGGAUUUUUAAAAACAAAGAUCAUCAGACAUGUCUGCAGGAACAUGCAUAUUUCUUUGUUCGAUUCUGCUGCUUGCUGGCGUCUUUGUGUCCGUGUGUGCAGAGGACAAAAGCAUCACAGUUCAGUCUGGACAGAACGUCAUUCUACCAUGUCAAGCUCCAAAUGAUACGGGUUCCAUCAGAGUGGUAAAGUGGACCAAACCUGACCUACAAAAGAAAAUAGUACAUUUGUAUGUGGAUCGGCGAUUUGAUCUCGAGGAUCAGAAUCCAUCUUUUAAGAACCGGGUGGAUCUGCGGGACAGAGAGAUGAAAAAUGGAGACGUGUCUUUGAUUCUGAAGAAUGUGACGAUUAAUGAUGCUGGAAAAUACAAAUGUAGUGUUAUCCAGAAAAAAGACCUCAGCCCUUCCACCACUACUAUAACUCUUGACCUGAGAGUUAUUAAUUCUAAAGGUCAGACAUUCCUACCAGUAGGACGAAGUGUAAGUGGCUCUGCUGGACUGGUCAUUGGUCUGUAUCUUCCCGUUGUGCUUCUCGUUGUUGCUUUUGUUUUUUAGCUACAGAAAAUUUAAAGAAAUCAGUCAGUGUUCAAACCAACCUCAGUGUUUUUUUUUUUGAAAGCAAGAAAAGAAAAAUGAUCUGAGGACACACGGACAUUAAAGAUGGGGAACAUUCAGCUGCAGAUUUCAAACAUCUAAAAUUUUAAUUUCUUUCACAUCUGUUGGACUGAUUGUUGGUCUGACAGUUUCUGGUCUGCUUCUUCUGGAAGUUGUUUUUUUUUUCCAUCCACAGAAGAUAUAAACAACAACACAAUCAGGGUCCAUACCACCCUUCUGCUGGGAAGUAAUAGGUUGACAUUUUUCCAGAGAAAGGAAGAUGAUAAGAUGACAGACAUUUUAAUGCUUAACAUCCAGCAGGCCAUAUCAAAUGUUAAGUUCUUCAUUUGAUUUUACAUCUUAACCCUUUACAGCCGAUCGGAGCGGGCACGCUCUGUUUUGCGUAACUAUUUUUAAAUCCCGGUAGCUCUGCAACCACAUAAGCUAGUGCAAUCAUUUUUUUUGCAUAUGAAACUGGAGGAGUUGUACUUACAUCUUACGCCAUCAGCUUGUCCUCGGUCACAGUUUCCUUCCACAUAUAGCUUUGCAAAAACUGCAUAAAAAUCACUUGCAGCAACAAAAACAUGAUAUUCCAGAAACACGCUUCGCCGAUCCAUCAGCUGUUUGUAACACUUCCUACGUCCAUCAGCGCGAACUAUCACAUGACCGCAUGACCUGCCCGAAACCGGAAGUGACGUCAUUUUGCGGAAAUGUAGUUUUUUACGAUCGAGGCCUUAUGAGCUUGUGUUUUACUUGUUAUGUGUUUUAAAAAGUUAUGUUUGACUUUAUGACUUUCUGUGUCGUUUCUGGGAUGCUUAAGACUCAUAUUGCACUGCUGGAAAUAGUUUAUUUUGAUGCAUAUGCUGUUAUUUUGCAAAUUUGCAUUAUAAUAUUUAUUUUUGUUUUUCCUGCAGUAUAUAAAAAUUGGUGUAUUUCAAAAAUAAAACUAUGAAGACACUCAAAAUAAAUUUCCUGUGGUGGGAAACUAGUUUGUGUAACUUUUUUGUAUUUACAGUUUUGAGGGAUAAGCCUCUUAAAUUUCUCUAACUAGAAAUAUAUGUUAAAAAAACAAAAACGAUUUUAAAUUUUUUUGUAGUUUAUUGCACUUUUUUGCAAUUUAUGUAAUUACUAUGCACCUAAUGCAGACAUAUUAUUAAAGUUUGGGCUAUAAUGGUUGUAUUGAUGUAUAGCAACUUGAAAUGCUCCCAAAAAUGGCUCCACAGCAUGUAAAAAUAUAAUAUAAGCUCUGGCGAACUUGGUUCUAUGGUAGGUCUUAAAGGGUUAAAUGUUCAGUUUCUUGUGGUUCCAUCUGUUGGACUGACAGUUGGUCUGUCUGUCUUCUUUUUACUUUUGAGGGGUUAAAAGAAAUGAGUCAGAAUCUGCACGAGCUCCUCUGAGCAGAGUAAAAUGAGUUGGCUGAGUUAGUCAUAAAAAGAUCAACAUUCUAAACCAACCACUUUGAAAACAGUUUAUUUUGUUCCUGCUAUACUUUUUUGUUUUACAUUUCUAAAUUAUGAUUAUCUGACUGUCAAGAAGUGCACUACAAUCCACUAAAGUCUCAUUUUCAUUGUUCCUGUUUAUAAAAAGCAGGGAAAAUCCAUAAAUAUGUUUAAACAUUUAUGCUCCAGUACUAAAACAGCCAGUGUUCAAACCAAGCUCAGUUUUAAUGAAAACAAAGAUGAUCUGAGGACAGACAGACUUUAAAGAUGUUGAACAUUCAGCUGCACAUUUCAAAUAUCUAAAAUCUUUAAUGUUUUUCGCAUUUCUCUCAAACAUCAUGUCAAGUCUGCCUGCAGCUUUAUGACCUACAGUUUUCAUCCACCUUCAGUAUUUUAAUAUGUUUUGCUCACACCAAGUUAAACUGUAUUACGCAGGAACAUUACUCUAUGUUCUGCUGUAUUAGAAUCAGUGAGCCGAGUUUAUAUUCUUUUUAAAAUAUCGUUUAUAUUUCUUUUGUGGAAAAUUCACAAGUUUGACCCAAACCCAUUGUACAUAUAUGCAUAUUAUGUUGUGUUUUUCUAAUUAAAUAUCCAGUGUCGUGUAUGUUGCAGUGUUGGAAUCAGUGAGUGUUGGUUUCAGCUUCAGGUUCAGCAGCUGUUUGUGACAUCUGGAUGGGUUUGACUCAUCAUGUUCAGUCAGCAUAAAUACAGAUGCUGACUAAACCAACUCACAGACACAAAAGCAUGUCACAGUGUGUGGAAAAAUCACUGUGGAUUAUAGAAGGUGAUAAUAUGACAGCCACAGGACUGGCCGCGCUUUCCUUGUCGGUUUUGUGUUUUCAUCUGUGUAACAUAAGUAAAGUUGCAUAUUUGGGAACACCUCAUUGGUUUUGGUGUGAUUGUUGGUUUAGUUAGUUCCCUUCACACACCAAUGACUUGGGCUGUGGUGUGUUAGUAAAUCAAAAAAUUAACUGCCUGAACAAUAAUGUUCACUUGGAUGGGUUUCAGUGAGUGAUUCGAGGGACUGCUGUCCAACUUGCCAUUCUUUGUGAAGUUGAUUUUCCUGAUUUUUAACUGGUUUUGAAAAUGGCUUCUGAAUCAGUGCUGGAAUGAGUAUUGAUUUGCUGCUAUAUGAGAAAAAAUGAAUUGAAAUGAACACAAAAAUAAAAAGGAUAAUGAAACUGAAACUUAUCAGUCCCAGUCUGGUAUUUCGUGAAAUCUAACUUCCCUUCAGGAGCUUCUGAGAAACAGACCCCUCCAUAAACUUGGAUUUCAGUCAUGUAAAGGCUUUUUUAAAAAAAAAAAAAAAUCCAGCUGCAGCUCUCACUCUGAUCACAGCUGCUCCAUCAGAGUUGAAGGACAAAGAAAAACUAAAACAUUGUAAAAUACUUUAGAUGAACUUAUCAUCUUAUAGUGAGAUUAAUCAGAAUGUACAAUUAAUAAUCUGCACUGAGACACUUUAAGAUUGUUUAAGAUUUGAGUCCAAGGCUGAAAUCAAAUAGUCAGAAUAUUCCCUGCUCUGUCAUUUUCUCUCUAAGUGGACGUCCAUGUUGCUUUAGUGUUCUUUCAUGCAGAUAAUAUAAGCAUGUAUGAAUAUCUAUAACAUUAAUACCAAGGUAAACAACUGCAGUCAUAUUUCUCAUCCUG